UUUCCGUAGGUGAACCUGCGGAAGGAUCAUUAAAUUUCUUGGGCGUGCCCAUGUCGGGGGUCGUGUGUCAUAACGUUUAAUCGUAUAGACGUGCGCCCUGGCUGCAUCCUUGUCUAUUGCGUACUAUUUGUUUCCUCGGCGGGCUUGCUCGCCGAUUGGACAACUAUUAUACUCUUUUGUAAUUGUAAUCAGCGUCUGAAUAAACUAUAAUAGUUACAACUUUCAACAACGGAUCUCUUGGUUCUGGCAUCGAUGAAGAACGCAGC
rnacentral:misc_RNA from 1 species